rnacentral:rRNA from 1 species
CCCUUAGACGUUCUGGGCCGCACGCGCGCUACACUGACCAGUGCAACAAGCAUCCGUCCUUGGCCGACAGGCCCGGGCAAUCUUUGAACGCUGGUCGUGAUGGGGAUAGACUUUUGCAAUUUUUGGUCUUCAACGAGGAAUUCCUAGUAAACGCAAGUCAUCAACUUGCAUUGAUUACGUCCCUGCCCUUUGUACACACCGCCCGUCGCACCUACCGAUUGAAUGGUCCGGUGAAGCGCUCGGACCGCGGCCUCUUGACGGUUCGCUGUCGAUUGGCUGUGGGAAGUUCGUUAAACCUUAUCAUUUAGAGGAAGGAGAAGUCGUAACA